rnacentral:rRNA from 1 species
UACGAAGGGGGCUAGCGUUGCUCGGAAUGACUGGGCGUAAAGGGCGCGUAGGCGGUUUGGACAGUCAGAUGUGAAAUUCCUGGGCUCAACCUGGGGGCUGCAUUUGAUACGUUCGGACUAGAGUGGGGAAGAGGGUCGUGGAAUUCCCAGUGUAGAGGUGAAAUUCGUAGGUAUUGGGAAGAACACCGGUGGCGAAGGCGGCGACCUGGUCCUUGACUGACGCUGAGGCGCGAAAGCGUGGGGAGCAAACAGG